AUUGAACGCUGGCGGCAUGCUUUACACAUGCAAGUCGAACGGUAACAGGCCGCCAGGUGCUGACGAGUGGCGGACGGGUGAGUAACGCAUCGGAACGUGCCCAGUCGUGGGGGCUACCUACUCGAAAGAGUAGCUAAUACCGCAUACGAUCUAAGGCUGCAAACGGGGGACCGCAAGACCUCGCGCGAUUGGAGCGGCCGAUGUCAGAUUAGGUAGUUGGUGGGGUAAAGGCUCACCAAGCCAACGAUCUGUAGCUGGUCUGAGAGGACGAUCGGCCACACUGGGACUGAGACACGGCCCAGACUCCUACGGGAGGCAGCAGUGGGGAAUUUUGGACAAUGGGCGCAAGCCUGAUCCAGCAAUGCCGCGUGCAGGAAGAAGGCCUUCGGGUUGUAAACUGCUGUUGUACGGAACGAAACGGCUCUGGUUAAUACCCGCGGCUAAUGACGGUACCGUAAGAAUAAGCACCGGCUAACUACGUG
rnacentral:rRNA from 1 species